GGCGAUGUAGCUCAGAUGGUCAGAGCAUGCGGCUCAUAUCCGCAGUGUCCGGGGUUCAAUUCCCUGCAUCGCCACCA
rnacentral:tRNA from 7 species